GAAGCGUGCGAUUGGAUUGCACGUCUAAGCAGUAAGGCUGAGUAUUAGGCAAAUCCGGUACUCAUUAAGGCUGAGCUGUGAUGGGGAGAAGACAUUGUGUCUUCGAGUCGUUGAUUUCACACUGCCGAGAAAAGCCUCUAGAUAGAAAAUAGGUGCCCGUACCGCAAACCGACACAGGUAGUCAAGAUGAGAAUUCUAAGGUGAGCGAGCGAACUCUCGUUAAGGAACUCGGCAAAAUGACCCCGUAACUUCGGGAGAAGGGGUGCUCUUUAGGGUUAACGCCCAGAAGAGCCGCAGUGAAUAGGCCCAAGCGACUGUUUAUCAAAAACACAGGUCUCUGCUAAACCGUAAGGUGAUGUAUAGGGGCUGACGCCUGCCCGGUGCUGGAAGGUUAAGAGGAGUGGUUAGCUUCUGCGAAGCUACGAAUCGAAGCCCCAGUAAACGGCGGCCGUAACUAUAACGGUCCUAAGGUAGCGAAAUUCCUUGUCGGGUAAGUUCCGACCCGCACGAAAGGCGUAACGAUUUGGGCACUGUCUCAACGAGAGACUCGGUGAAAUCAUAGUACCUGUGAAGAUGCAGGUUACCCGCGACAGGACGGAAAGACCCCGUGGAGCUUUACUGUAGCCUGAUAUUGAAAUUCGGCACAG
rnacentral:rRNA from 1 species